rnacentral:rRNA from 1 species
CCUUACGGGCGGUGAGUGCAAUUGCAGUUGAUACUGCGUCGCUUGAGUGCACACAGGGAUGUUGGAAUUCAUGGUGUAGCGGUGAAAUGCUUAGAUAUCAUGAAGAACUCCGAUCGCGAAGGCAUAUGUCCGGAGUGCAACUGACGCUGAGGCUCGAAAGUGUGGGUAUCAAACAGGAUUAGAUACCCUGGUAGUCCACACAGUAAACGAUGAAUACUCGCGGUUGGUUCGUUAGAGUCAGCCGCCAAGCGAAAGCGUUAAGUAUUCCACCUGGGGAGUACGCCGGCAACGGUGAAACUCAAAGGAAUUGACGGGGGCCCGCACAAGCGGAGGAACAUGUGGUUUAAUUCGAUGAUACGCGAGGAACCUUACCCGGGCUUGAACUGCCAGUGACUCAUGCAGAGACGCAUGUUUCUUCGGACACUGGCGGAGGUGCUGCAUGGUUGUCGUCAGCUCGUGCCGUGAGGUGUCGGCUUAAGUGCCAUAACGAGCGCAACCCUUCUCCCUGUUUGCCAUCGGGUUAAGCCGGGCACUCCAGGGACACUGCCAUCGUAAGAUGUGAGGAAGGUGGGGAUGACGUCAAAUCAGCACGGCCCUUACGUCCGGGGCUACACACGUGUUACAAUGGGCGGUACAGAAAGCAGCUACCCCGCGAGGGGAUGCCAAUCUCAAAAACCGUUCUCAGUUCGGACUGGAGUCUGCAACCCGACUCCACGAAGCUGGAUUCGCUAGUAAUCGCGCAUCAGCCAUGGCGCGGUGAAUACGGUCCCGGGCCUUGCACACACCGCCCGUA